GAUGAACGCUGGCGGCGUGCUUAACACAUGCAAGUCGAACGAUGAAGCCCAGCUUGCUGGGUGGAUUAGUGGCGAACGGGUGAGUAACACGUGAGUAACCUGCCCUUAACUCUGGGAUAAGCCUGGGAAACUGGGUCUAAUACCGGAUAGGAGCGUCCACCGCAUGGUGGGUGUUGGAAAGAUUUAUCGGUUUUGGAUGGACUCGCGGCCUAUCAGCUUGUUGGUGAGGUAAUGGCUCACCAAGGCGACGACGGGUAGCCGGCCUGAGAGGGUGACCGGCCACACGGGGACUGAGAGACGGCCCAGACUCCUACGGGAGGCAGCAGUGGGGAAUAUUGCACAGUGGGCGCAAGCCUGAUGCAGCGACGCCGCGUGAGGGAUGACGGCCUUCGGGUUGUAAACCUCUUUCAGUAGGGAAGAAGCGAAAGUGACGGUACCUGCAGAAGAAGCACCGGCUAACUACGUG
rnacentral:rRNA from 1 species